rnacentral:rRNA from 1 species
GACGAACGCUGGCGGCGCGCCUAACACAUGCAAGUCGAGCGAUGAAAUUUUAACCGAUCUCUUCGGAGAGAAGAUAAAAUGGAUUAGCGGCGGACGGGUGAGUAACACGUGAGAAACUUGCCUUUCACAAGGGGAUAGCCUCGGGAAACCGGGAUUAAUACCCUAUGACACAUUUCCUUCGCAUGGAAGAAAUGUUAAAACUCCGGUGGUGAAAGAUGGUCUCGCGCCUGAUUAGCUAGUUGGUGGGGUAACGGCCCACCAAGGCCAUGAUCAGUAACCGGCCUGAGAGGGUGAACGGUCACAUUGGAACUGAGACACGGUCCAAACUCCUACGGGAGGCAGCAGUGGGGAAUAUUGCACAAUGGAGGAAACUCUGAUGCAGCGACGCCGCGUGAGCGAUGAAGGCUUUCGAGUCGUAAAGCUCUGUCCUAUGGGAAGAUAAUGACGGUACCAUAGGAGGAAGCCCCGGCUAACUACGUG